rnacentral:rRNA from 1 species
UUGGCUCAGGAUGAACGCUGGCGGCGUGCCUAACACAUGCAAGUCGAACGAGCGAGAGAUGAAACCUGGUGAUUCUCAAGCGAGUGGCGGACGGGUGAGUAACGCGUGGGUAACCUGCCUUACAGAGGGGGAUAACAGUCUGAAAAGACUGCUAAUACCGCAUAAGCACACAGUACCGCAUGGUACAGGGUGAAAAGAUUUAUCACUGUAAGAUGGACCCGCGUCUGAUUAGCCAGUUGGCAGGGUAACGGCCCACCAAAGCGACGAUCAGUAGCCGACCUGAGAGGGUGAUCGGCCACAUUGGGACUGAGACACGGCCCAAACUCCUACGGGAGGCAGCAGUGGA